AAAAGCUGUAUCGAUUGUUGAGAUCUGGCGACUUGUUUAAAUUUCAUCAGCCUCACUUCUAUGAACUCUCAGAGCUGAUUACCAACUCCUACCACUGUUAACCCUCAUCCAGGAACAAGCUUAUGUCUUUAACAUUCUGAGUGGGCUUCAGCAUCCUUGCAUAUGUUCAAUUCUUAAAAACCUGUUGAAAUAAAAGAUCAGGAGACAUAGGAAGGAUGCCAGAAGAGAGCGUGGCCUCACGUGUACCAGCUCUCUGCUCUCCUUUGCCUUGGGACGUUCCAUCCCUGGAAGUUUCCCUGCCCACAUCUUUGUAGAGAGUCCAUUCUCCAAGCUUCAGUGUGUCAUCUGUGAGGACCGUGACCCACCUGGUACAUCGCCUCAGGGCAUUCAUUUCAGGCUCCUUCUAAAUGGCCAAGUUUUCAAGAUUGUUUUGGCUCUAGCAAAACAAGUUGGAACAUUCACAUCAUCCAAGACAACACCAACAUUUUUGUAAUGGCCUGCAAGGCCUUCCGAGAUCUACCUCCUGCAACUCAGCUUCUCCUGUGCUCUCCUUCUGGACUCACUCUGCCUCAGCAACACUGGUCCCUGUUGCCCCACCAAUAUGCCAGUCAUCUAUGAACUGACUCUGUCUCAAAAAAAAAAAGAAAAAAAAGAAAAGAAAGAAUGAAAAAAAAAACUAGGACAUGGCUAACAGGAAUGGGGACAAAGAAUCUGCACUGAUGAGGAAACUGAAACAGAAAAUCCAGAGUAAAUUCCACCAGGCCACACAGCAAGGUCUGAUAGAGCCAGGAGAGACUUUAUGAAAUCCAGACUCUCACACUAAUGCUCUAUCAGCUAGACCUCCAUGUGAGUCUCCCCAAUGUAGGUAGGAAGUGCUUUCCC
rnacentral:lncRNA from 1 species